GCUAUAAUGCAAGUCGAGCGAAUCUGAGGGAGCUUGCUCCCAAAGAUUAGCGGCGGACGGGUGAGUAACACGUGGGCAACCUGCCUGUAAGACUGGGAUAACUCCGGGAAACCGGGGCUAAUACCGGAUAAUAUCUAUUUAUACAUAUAAUUAGAUUGAAAGAUGGUUCUGCUAUCACUUACAGAUGGGCCCGCGGCGCAUUAGCUAGUUGGUGAGGUAACGGCUCACCAAGGCGACGAUGCGUAGCCGACCUGAGAGGGUGAUCGGCCACACUGGGACUGAGACACGGCCCAGACUCCUACGGGAGGCAGCAGUAGGGAAUCUUCCGCAAUGGACGAAAGUCUGACGGAGCAACGCCGCGUGAGUGAUGAAGGUUUUCGGAUCGUAAAACUCUGUUGUUAGGGAAGAACAAGUAUCGGAGUAACUGCCGGUACCUUGACGGUACCUAACCAGAAAGCCACGGCUAACUACGUGCCAGCAGCCGCGGUAAUACGUAGGUGGCAAGCGUUGUCCGGAAUUAUUGGGCGUAAAGCGCGCGCAGGCGGUUCCUUAAGUCUGAUGUGAAAGCCCACGGCUCAACCGUGGAGGGUCAUUGGAAACUGGGGAACUUGAGUGCAG
rnacentral:rRNA from 2 species